rnacentral:rRNA from 1 species
CCUACGGGAGGCAGCAGUGGGGAAUUUUGGACAAUGGGCGCAAGCCUGAUCCAGCAAUGCCGCGUGCAGGAUGAAGGCCUUCGGGUUGUAAACUGCUUUUGUACGGAACGAAAAGUCUUGGGUUAAUACCCUGGGAUCAUGACGGUACCGUAAGAAUAAGCACCGGCUAACUACGUGCCAGCAGCCGCGGUAAUACGUAGGGUGCAAGCGUUAAUCGGAAUUACUGGGCGUAAAGCGUGCGCAGGCGGUUUUGUAAGACAGUGGUGAAAUCCCCGGGCUCAACCUGGGAACUGCCAUUGUGACUGCAAGGCUGGAGUGCGGCAGAGGGGGAUGGAAUUCCGCGUGUAGCAGUGAAAUGCGUAGAUAUGCGGAGGGACACCGAUGGCGAAGGCAAUCCCCUGGGCCUGCACUGACGCUCAUGCACGAAAGCGUGGGGAGCAAACAGGAUUAGAUACCCUGGUAGUCCACGCCCUAAACGAUGUCAACUGGUUGUUGGGAAUUUAUUUUCUCAGUAACGAAGCUAACGCGUGAAGUUGACCGCCUGGGGAGUACGGCCGCAAGGUUAAAACUCAAAUGAAUUGACGG